AGACAGGUGCUGCAUGGCUGUCGUCAGCUCGUGUUGUGAAAUGUUGGGUUAAGUCCCGCAACGAGCGCAACCCUUAUCCUUUGUUGCCAGCGGUCCGGCCGGGAACUCAAAGGAGACUGCCAGUGAUAAACUGGAGGAAGGUGGGGAUGACGUCAAGUCAUCAUGGCCCUUACGACCAGGGCUACACACGUGCUACAAUGGCGCAUACAAAGAGAAGCGACCUCGCGAGAGCAAGCGGACCUCAUAAAGUGCGUCGUAGUCCGGAUUGGAGUCUGCAACUCGACUCCAUGAAGUCGGAAUCGCUAGUAAUCGUGGAUCAGAAUGCCACGGUGAAUACGUUCCCGGGCCUUGUACACACCGCCCGUCACACCAUGGGAGUGGGUUGCAAAAGAAGUAGGUAGCUUAACCUUCGGGAGGGCGCUUACCACUUUGUGAUUCAUGACUGGGGUGAAGUCGUAACAAGGUAACCGUAGGGGAACCUGCGGUUGGAUCACCUCCUU
rnacentral:rRNA from 2 species